rnacentral:rRNA from 1 species
CAGCAGCCACGGUAAUACGUAGGGUGCGCGCGUUAAUCGGAAUUACUGGGCGUAAAGCGUGCGCAGGCGGUUCGUUAAGUCAGAUGUGAAAUCCCCGAGCUUAACUCGGGAACUGCAUUUGAAACUGGCAGGCUAGAGUCUCGUAGAGGGGGGUAGAAUUCCAGGUGUAGCGGUGAAAUGCGUAGAUAUGCGGAGGAACACCGAUGGCGAAGGCAGCCCCCUGGGCCAAUACUGACGCUCAUGCACGAAAGCGUGGGGAGCAAACAGGAUUAGAUACCCUGUAGUCCCUGUCUCUUAUACA